GUGAGGAAUAUUGGUCAAUGGACGGAAGUCUGAACCAGCCAUGCCGCGUGCAGGAAUAAGGUCCUAUGGAUUGUAAACUGCUUUUAUUCGGGAAUAAACCUCUUUACGUGUAGGGAGCUGUAGGUACCGAAGGAAUAAGCACCGGCUAACUCCGUGCCAGCAGCCGCGGUAAUACGGAGGGUGCAAGCGUUAUCCGGAAUCAUUGGGUUUAAAGGGUCCGCAGGCGGGCUAUCAAGUCAGAGGUGAAAUCCCACAGCUUAACUGUGGAACUGCCUUUGAAACUGAUGGUCUUGAAUUAAGUAGGCGUUGGCGGAAUAUGACAUGUAGCGGUGAAAUGCAUAGAUAUGUCAUGGAACACCGAAAGCGAAGGCAGCUAACGAUACUUAUAUUGACGCUCAUGGACGAAAGCGUGGGUAGCGAACAGGAUUAGAAACCCGUGUAGUCC
rnacentral:rRNA from 1 species